rnacentral:rRNA from 1 species
AUGAACGCUGGCGGCGUGCCUCAUACAUGCAAGUCGAGCGAACGGACGAGAAGCUUGCUUCUCUGAUGUUAGCGGCGGACGGGUGAGUAACACGUGGAUAACCUACCUAUAAGACUGGGAUAACUUCGGGAAACCGGAGCUAAUACCGGAUAAUAUUUUGAACCGCAUGGUUCAAAAGUGAAAGACGGUCUUGCUGUCACUUAUAGAUGGAUCCGCGCUGCAUUAGCUAGUUGGUAAGGUAACGGCUUACCAAGGCAACGAUGCAUAGCCGACCUGAGAGGGUGAUCGGCCACACUGGACCUGAGACACGGUCCAGACUCCUACGGGAGGCAGCAGUAGGGAAUCUUCCGCAAUGGGCGAAAGCCUGACGGAGCAACGCCGCGUGAGUGAUGAAGGUCUUCGGAUCGUAAAACGCUGUUAUUAGGGAAGAACAUAUGUGUAAGUAACUGUGCACAUCUGACGGUACCUAAUCAGAAAGCCACGGCUAACUACGUG